rnacentral:rRNA from 1 species
UACAGAGGUCCCAAGCGUUGUUCGGAUUCACUGGGCGUAAAGGGUGCGCAGGUGGGCUGGUAAGUUUGAUGUGAAAGCCCCGGGCUUAACCCGGGAACGGCAUUGAAUACUAUUCGGCUGGAGGAUUGGAGGGGGGACUGGAAUUCUUGGUGUAGCAGUGAAAUGCGUAGAUAUCAAGAGGAACACCAGUGGCGAAGGCGAGUCCCUGGACAAUUCCUGACACUGAGGCACGAAAGCCAAGGGAGCAAACAGG